GGAAGAUGGAAGCCAAAGAACCGUCACGUUAUCGUCAAGUUGCCUUCGCCGGGCCGCAUCAGUUUUUGGAUUUUGUCUGCAGGCAGUCACGAGCGAAUGUUCCAUCCCACGUUCCAUUCCCUUCUUCCAAUACAAACAACACCUCUCUCUCUCUCUCUUUCUCGUAUCUCUCUCCCAAGUUCUUCCCCUCUCCCAAUUCUCCUACUCCAUGGCUCCUGCCUCCAAUUCUUCACUCUCUUCCACCUCCAAUUCGCAUCCUGACGAUAGACUGGACUUCGCUUCCAUCUGGUCCCUCGUGUCCUUGGUUAAUCGCCACAUUCAUCGGUUCCUCUCGGACCCUGCCGCUAGGAAGUCUCUCAAGCUCAAAUGCAGCUCAAACCUUACCAUGUCCAACCAUGAUCGCUUCGAAUUCUCCGAGCACUCGGUCCUUUCGAACCUCUACUGGGGAAUCGAGAACAUCGAGCUUGCAAUCCGAUCCAACUGCCAACAAGAACGUAAUUCUCGGCUCGCGAAUUCCGAGAAGAUGCUCCAGGUACCGGCGCUGAUGGAGGAGGAUGGGAGCGUGGCCGGGAUCGAGAACCGAUGCAUCGUCUGCUGCUCCUACUUCCACCUCUCCCUGGUUCGGAAGCUCCGGGGCGACGAGUGGCAGAUGACCAUGCACUUCCUCCAGUCAGUGCUGGUCUUCCCUCGGCUGGUCAGAACGGAGCUCGCGCCGGGGCUGUGGCGAGCUCUUUUUGGCUCUCUGCUGACAAUUGGAGACACCGAGGAAGCCAUCGAUGAGGCGGCGAAGCAGCAGGGGAGGAGGUACAAGGACUGGUUGAUGUACUAUCGGGUCGUUUCCUAUGGGGAGACUCCUCCAUGGAUUAAGGCCGAAAACUGUAGCAGGGAACUGCAGAAUCUGCAGUACAGAAGUUUUGCGAGCACCCGAUGUCUGAACUCCCUGGGACAAGUGCCUACCUGGCCAAAUUUUCAGGUGGCUCAGAUGGUGUGUCCGCAUAGUACUAAAGAAAAUAAAGAAAUAGAGAAAAUUAAAGCCUCUACUGCCAAUUCAGAGGAAUAUGAAGGUUUUACUAAACCCAAAAACGAGAACUCCAUUCUGACAAAUUUGGAUGAGGAUUUUCACGAAGAAAUCGAUGAGAGCUUUGACAUCAGAUGCCUCCAAGAUAUGCUGGAAGAGUCCCAGUCAGAUUCACCAGUUUCCUUUUAUUCCCACGUUGAAUCUGCAGCAGCAAGUGAUUCAGAGAUGAGAAUGCAGGGUAAAGAGAUUCCAGAAAAGAUCCUGACAAUGUAUGCCGAUCAUUCAGCAUCUAAUUCUGGUGAGAGGAACUACCUGCCCAAUUGCUCACCUCCUGAGUGCCUAGAGACACCUCCUCCUGAUUGUCCAAGCUAUUCAAUGCAUGUGGAAGUCUGCGAAGCAAUUGCAGGUUGUCUGUUAUCUAGCAGAUCACAUAGUUCGCCCAACAAUUUAAGAUUUUCAAUCUUGGAUCUGAGAGAUGUGGAGACGUAUCCCUUUUCCAACUGUUCUGUAGAAGAUGGGACACCUACAGGAAGAUCACCAACACAUGAUUUAAGAUGCUUUAGCAAUUUCUCAUCUAAAUUUAGAAAGAAACAUAGCAUAUCUGAAUUUGUUCCUCGAGGAAGUUUUGCAAGGAGAAAAAUAAACUUUUCAAACAGUGAGAAAGACUGGAGUGAUGAGAGCUCAAAUUAUGGAAAAGAUAAUCACUCUGAACUGUUGGGAAGAUCUGAAAAACCAGUUUCAAUUCUAUGUUUCUCAGAAGGUCAAGGAAAAUGUGAAGAUGCUGAUGUGGAAGUUGCAACUAUAUGGGAAUUGCUCAACACUAAGAAAGAGGUUAGAUAUAGCUCAGUAAAGCAAGAAAUCCUUGACCAAUUACUGCACAUUAUUUCAACUUCUGAAAAGGAAAAACCCAUUAGGGCAUCAGUAUCUAUGCUGUUACUUCUAAUUUCAGAAGGCAAAGCAGUUAUAGAAGACAUUAAGAAAAAGGAUUUACAUCUGAAUAUAUUGGCCAGUGCAUUGAAGAGAAAUGUGCAAGAGGCUGCUAUUCUUAUCUAUUUGCUAAAUCCAUCACCUACGGAGAUAAAAGGUCUAGAGAUUCUACCAGCACUAGUGGAGGUUGCUUGCAACUCCAAUGGCCAGAAGAAGGGGUCUUUGUCACUUCCUUUAACACCAACAUCAGCAUCAAUAUCCUUGAUUGAAGUAUUAGUAACUGCAUUUGACUAUGUAACAAAUAACAUGCACUUGGCAGCUAUUAGCUCUCCUCAGAUUCUCUCAAAGCUUGUAAAUGUUGCAAUGAACAAGAAUUUAGAAGAAGGUGUAGCUUUGGCAGCGAUUCUUGUUAGGUGCAUGCGUCUGAAUGGUAACUGCAAAAAGUUUUUAUCACAAGUUACUCCUGUGGAUCCAUUUCUCUAUCUUCUGAGAAGUAAUGAGAGGCGUGCAAAGUUUGCUGCACUUGAAUAUUUUCAUGAGAUUCUUCGCAUGCCACGGUCAUCAGCCAUUCAUUUGCUCCAUCAGAUACGACAGCAAGGGAGUAUCAGCAUUAUGCACAUGUUAAUGACCUGUAUCCAACAAACUGAACCUGAACAUCGACUUUUGGCAGCAAAUCUUCUGCUUCAAUUGGACAUGCUGGAACAUGCCAGUGGUAAGAGUGUAUUCAAAGAAGAGGCAAUGGAAGUCCUAUUAGAAUCAGUUGCAUCUGAAGAAGAUUGCAGCACACAGACACUAGCUGCAUUUAUUCUUUCAAACCUUGGAGGGACUUAUUCCUGGACAGGGGAACCAUAUACAGCUGCAUGGCUAGUAAAAAGGGCAGGGUUGACGUCAGUACAUCAUAGGCAUAUGAUCAGAAAAGUUGACUGGUUUGAUCCCUGUCUACAGGAUAGUGAAUCAAAUGCAUGGAGUGCCAAGACUGCAGGAGGUGUCAUCAGAAUUGGGCGUUCUGUCUUUAAUGCUUUGGCAAGGGGAAUUCAAAGCAGGAUAAAGAGUGUUUCACGCGACUGUCUUAUAUGCAUCACAUGGCUUGGAAGUGAAAAGGCAGUUAUGGGUCCUAGCAGCAUCAGAUAUUAUGCCUGUGAGAUUUUGUUAAAUGAAAUAGCACGCUUCCUCCAUCCAGGGUCAGAGCUUGAUGAGCGAAUUCUAGCAUGUCUUUCUGUGUAUGAUUACACAUCCGGUAAAGGAAAGCAGAAAUUAAUGAACUUCUCAGAAGGUCUGCGAGAAUCGCUUAGACGUCUCUCAGGUUACACAUGGAUGGCUGAGGAAUUACAAAAAGUUGCCGAUUAUUUUCUUCCUACCAAACCACAUGUGUCAUGUGUACAUUCACAAAUUCUGGAAGUAGGUCAUCUUGGAAGUGGAGCCGCAACUGCUCUUAUUUUCUACAAAGGACAGCUUUGUGCUGGAUACUCAGAUGGCUCGAUCAAGGUAUGGGGCAUCAAGCGACAAAGAGCAAUGCUCGUAUUGGAGGUCAAGGAGCACAAAAGGCCUGUAACCUGCUUUACACUUUUUGAACCAGGGGAUAGCCUCUUAAGUGGAUCCUCUGAUAAAACUGUCAGGGUUUGGAAAAUGGUACAAAGGAAAUUAGAAUGUGUUGAAGUUAUAGAGAUGAAGGAUCCCGUUCAAAAAGUAGACAGUUAUGGUGACAAAAUUCUUAUAGUUACGCAGAGCUGUGGUCUCAAGGUGUGCCAUGCAUCAAGGUGCAUCCAGACUACAUGCAAGAAUAAGCAUGUUAAAUGCCUAACAGUGGUCCAGGGCAAAAUCUACCUUGGGUGCACAGAUUCAAGUAUACAGGAGGUAGAUAUAAUGGAAGACAAUAAGACAGAGAUCAGACCACCUACAAAAAGCUGGAGAAUGCAAAACAAACCAAUAAACUCUAUUCUGAUAUAUAAAGGGUGGAUUUACUGUGCAGGCGCUGUUGUUGAAGGAUCUGGAAUGGAGAAAGCACUGCCGACCUCAAGCUUCCAUAGCAAUGGAAAGGGGAACAAAUGUGCUAGCAAUGUCAGUGGUGGAAGACUUCAUAUACUUGAACUGCAGCUCAUCCCCAAGUAUAAUUCAGAUCUGGUUGAGAGGAAUGCAGAAGAAAGUAGGUAGAUUAUCAGCAGGUAGCAAGAUAACAAGCCUCCUAACAGCAAAUGAUAUUAUUUUUUGUGGUAGUGAAACUGGACUGAUAAAGGGCUGGAUUCCUCUAUAAAAGACACUCGAACAAUGUAUAUGGAAGCUAAAGGUUAUAAAAGUUUCAUAACUAGGCAGAGAGAAUGUAAAAAGGUUAGGAUUAAUUCUGGUCACAAAACCAAAAUAACGUACUUCACGACCAGCAAUUAUAAUGAGUGUAAGUAGAAACAAAGUCACAAGGUUGUAUCAUGAAAUAAAAUGUUUUGUUGUUGAUGAAUAAUGAGCAUGUACAUUUAUUAAUCUUUGAUUAUAUGAGUAUCAUCGUUGCAUCUUGAAACAUGCAGUUAUUUA